rnacentral:tRNA from 1 species
GGAGUUGUGGCUCAGUGUUAGAGCACUUACCUAGCAAAUAUGAGGCACUGGGUUGGAUCCUCAGCACCA